AGGGCGCUUUGGUGUUGGCUGCGGCCCAAGUUCCUUGGAACAGGACAUCGCGGAGGGUGAGAAUCCCGUACGUGGCCGCGUGCCUUCGCCGUGUAAAGCCCCUUCGACGAGUCGAGUUGUUUGGGAAUGCAGCUCUAAUUGGGAGGUAAAUUUCUUCUAAAGCUAAAUACUGGCCAGAGACCGAUAGCGCACAAGUAGAGUGAUCGAAAGAUGAAAAGCACUUUGGAAAGAGAGUCAAAAAGCACGUGAAAUUGUUGAAAGGGAAGCGCUUGCAGCCAGACAUGCCCGUGGCUGCUCAUCCAGACCCCCCAAGGUCUGGUGCACUCUCCCACGGGCAGGCCAGCAUCGGUUUGAGCGGUUGGAUAAAGGCUCUGGGAAUGUAGCUCCCCUUUGGGGAGUGUUAUAGCCCGUUGCGGAAUGCAGCCAGCUCGGACCGAGGCCCGCGCGCAUGCUAGGAUGCUGGCGUAAUGGCUGUAAGCGGCCCGUCUUGAAACACGGACCAAGGAGUCUAACAUCUAUGCGAGUGUUUGGGUGUCAAGCCCGGGCGCGCAAUGAAAGUGAAUGGAGGUGGAAACCCCUUUGAGGGCGCACCAUCGACCGAUCCUGAUGUCUUCGGAUGGAUUUGAGUAGGAG
rnacentral:rRNA from 1 species